UACGUAGGGGGCAAGCGUUGUCCGGAUUUAUUGGGCGUAAAGAGCGUGUAGGCGGCUUUACAGGUCCGUUGUGAAAACUCGAGGCUCAACCUCGAGACGCCGGUGGAAACCGUAAGGCUAGAGUCCGGAAGAGGAGAGUGGAAUUCCUGGUGUAGCGGUGAAAUGCGCAGAUAUCAGGAAGAACACCCGUGGCGAAGGCGGCUCUCUGGGACGGUACUGACGCUGAGGCGCGAAAGCUAGGGGAGCAAACGGG
rnacentral:rRNA from 1 species